CCCCGUACGGUUGAAUGCCUAGCCUUUGUAAAACUCCUUCGACGAGUCGAGUAGUUUGGGAAUGCUGCUCUAAAUGGGAGGUAAAUUUCUUCUAAAGCUAAAUACCGGCCAGAGACCGAUAGCGCACAAGUAGAGUGAUCGAAAGAUGAAAAGCACUUUGAAAAGAGGGUUAAAUAGCACGUGAAAUUGUUGAAAGGGAAGGAUUUAUGACCAGACUUUUUCUAGGCGAAUCAUCCGGUGUUCUCACCGGUGCACUUCGUUUAGUUUAGGCCAGCAUCGAUUUUCGGGGCGGGAUAAAAGCUUUAGGAAUGUAGCUCCCUCGGGAGUGUUAUAGCCUAUUGUAUAAUAUCGCCCUGGGGAUCGAGGUACGCGCUUCUGCAAGGAUGCUGGCGUAAUGGUUAUCAAUCACCCGUCUUGAAACACGGACCAAGGAGUCGAACAUUUGUGCAAGUGUUUGGGUGUUAAACCCUCACGCGUAAUGAAAGUGAACGGAGGUGAGAGCCCCUUACGGGGUGCAUCAUCGACCGAUCCUGAUGUCUUCGGAUGGAUUUGAGUAAGAGCAUAAAUGUUCGGACCCGAAAGAUGGUGAACUAUGCGUGGAUAGGGUGAAGCCAGAGGAAACUCUGGUGGAGGCUCGCAGCGGUUCUGACGUGCAAAUCGAUCGUCAAAUCUGCGCA
rnacentral:rRNA from 1 species